rnacentral:rRNA from 1 species
UACGUAGGGUGCAAGCGUUAAUCGGAAUUACUGGGCGUAAAGCGUGCGCAGGCGGUUUUGUAAGUCUGUCGUGAAAUCCCCGGGCUCAACCUGGGAAUGGCGAUGGAGACUGCAAGGCUAGAAUCUGGCAGAGGGGGGUGGAAUUCCACGUGUAGCAGUGAAAUGCGUAGAGAUGUGGAGGAACACCGAUGGCGAAGGCAGCCCCCUGGGUCAACACUGACGCUCAUGCACGAAAGCGUGGGGAGCAAACAGG